rnacentral:rRNA from 1 species
GAUGAACGCUAGCGACAGGCUUAACACAUGCAAGUCGAGGGGCAGCACGGUGUAGCAAUACACUGGUGGCGACCGGCGCACGGGUGAGUAACACGUGUGCAACCAACCCCGUACCGGGAGAUAACCCGCGGAAACGUGGACUAACAUCCCAUAACACUCUAGAGCCGCAUGGUUCUGGAUUUAAAACCCCGGUGGUACGGGACGGGCACGCGCGACAUUAGGUAGUUGGCGGGGUAACGGCCCACCAAGCCGACGAUGUCUAGGGGUUCUGAGAGGAAGGUCCCCCACAUUGGUACUGAGACACGGACCAAACUCCUACGGGAGGCAGCAGUGAGGAAUAUUGGGCAAUGGGCGCAAGCCUGACCCAGCAACGCCGCGUGAAGGAAGAAGGCUUUCGGGUUGUAAACUUCUUUUGUCAGGGACGAGAAGAAGACGGUACCUGACGAAUAAGCCACGGCUAACUACGUG